rnacentral:rRNA from 1 species
GACGAACGCUGGCGGCGUGCUUAACACAUGCAAGUCGAACGGAAAGGCCCUGCUUUUGUGGGGUGCUCGAGUGGCGAACGGGUGAGUAACACGUGAGUAACCUGCCCUUUACUUUGGGAUAACUUCAGGAAACUGGGGCUAAUACCGGAUAGGAGCUCCUGCUGCAUGGUGGGGGUUGGAAAGUUUCGGCGGUUGGGGAUGGACUCGCGGCUUAUCAGCUUGUUGGUGGGGUAGUGGCUUACCAAGGCUUUGACGGGUAGCCGGCCUGAGAGGGUGACCGGCCACAUUGGGACUGAGAUACGGCCCAGACGCCUACGGGAGGCAGCGGUGGAGAAUAUUGCACAAUGGGCGGAAGGCUGAAGCAGCAACGCCGCGUGCGGGAUGACGGCCUGCGGGUUGUAACCGCUUUCGCCUGUGACGAAGCGUGAGUGACGGUAAUGGGUAAAGAAGCACCGGCUAACUACGUG